UUGAAAAAGGGAGAGCCAGAAUUAACAAUGUUGGUGAAUGCUGAAGAGGAAACUGAGGCAGACUCAGCACGUAGAAAAAUACAUUAGAAUCUUCUAAAGUUUUGACAGAAGGAAAUUCAGGCAGAGGCCUGUACUUCUGGGAUGUUUACACUGCAGUUUGCAAGCUUUGCUGUAUGAGAAAAUCCGUUCUAUGCCCUGUGAGAAAAUUUGGCCAUCAAUAUACAUGCUGGCGUCAUAGGAGAACCAUCUGACAUGCUAGCAGUACACAUAGAAUACGCAGUAUGAAACAGCAAGAAAUGGUUAUUUCAUGAGUGGAAUUUCAUGACCUGCUGUCUGAUUUUGGUAAGC
rnacentral:lncRNA from 1 species